rnacentral:rRNA from 1 species
UCGAACGGUAACAGGUCUGUAGCAAUACAGAUGCUGACGAGUGGCAGACGGGUGAGGAACACGUACACAACUUUCCUUUAUCUGGUGAAUAGCCCCGAGAAAUCGGGAUUAAUACACCAUAGUAUCUUGGAGUGACAUCACUUUGAGAUUAAAGCUCAGGCGGAUAAAGAUGGGUGUGCGUCUGAUUAGCUAGUUGGUUGAGGUAAUGGCUCACCAAGGCGACCAUCAGUAACUGGUGUGAGAGCACGACCAGUCACACGGGCACUGAGAUACGGGCCCGACUCCUACGGGAGGCAGCAGUAAGGAAUAUUGGUCAAUGGACGCAAGUCUGAACCAGCCAUGCCGCGUGCAGGAUGAAGGCCCUCUGGGUCGUAAACUGCUUUUAUCAGGGAAGAAAUCACUUGUUUCUACAAGUGUUGACGGUACCUGAGGAAUAAGCACCGGCUAACUCCGUGCCAGCAGCCGCGGUAAUACGGAGGGUGCAAGCGUUAUCCGGAUUUACUGGGUUUAAAGGGUGCGUAGGCGGACCUUUAAGUCAGUGGUGAAAGCUCCGAGCUUAACUCGGAAACUGCCAUUGAUACUAUUUGUCUUGAAUUCGGUUGAGGUUGGCGGAAUGUGUCGUGUAGCGGUGAAAUGCUUAUAUAUGACACAGAACACCGAUUGCGAAGGCAGCUAGCUAAACCGACAUUGACGCUGAGGCACGAAAGCGUGGGGAUCAAACAGGAUUAGAAACCCUGGUAGUCCACGCCCUAAACUAUGAUUACUCGAUGUUGGCGAUACACUGCCAGCGUCUAAGCGAAAGCAUUAAGUAAU